rnacentral:rRNA from 1 species
UACAGAGGUCUCAAGCGUUGUUCGGAUUCAUUGGGCGUAAAGGGUGCGUAGGUGGCGCCGUAAGUCAGGUGUGAAAUUUCGGAGCUUAACUCCGAAACUGCAUUUGAUACUGCGGUGCUUUGAGGACUGGAGAGGAGACUGGAAUUUACGGUGUAGCAGUGAAAUGCGUAGAGAUCGUAAGGAAGACCAGUGGCGAAGGCGGGUCUCUGGACAGUUCCUGACAGCUGAGGCAACGGAAGGCCCAGGGGGAGCAAAACGGG